GACGAAGGAUGCAAGCGUUAUCCGGAUUCAUUGGGUUUAAAGGGAGCGUAGGUGGCCUUAUAAGUCAGCGGUGAAAAUCUCUGGGCUUAACCCAGAAAUUGCCAUUGAUACUGUAGGGCUUGAGUACAGUUGCUGUGGGCGGAAUAUGACAUGUAGUGGUGAAAUACAUAGAGAUGUCAUAGAACACCGGAUUGCGAAGGCAGCUCACAAAACUGUAACUGACACUGAGGCUCGAAAGUGCGGGGAUCAAACAGG
rnacentral:rRNA from 1 species